rnacentral:rRNA from 1 species
GACGAACGCUGGCGGCGUGCUUAACACAUGCAAGUCGAACGGAAAGGCCCCUUUGGGGGUACUCGAGUGGCGAACGGGUGAGUAACACGUGAGUAACCUGCCCUUGACUUCGGGAUAACUUCAGGAAACUGGGGCUAAUACCGGAUAGGAAUCCUUGCUGCAUGGUGGGGGUUGGAAAGCUUCGGCGGUUUUGGAUGGACUCGCGGCUUAUCAGCUUGUUGGUGGGGUAGUGGCUUACCAAGGCUUUGACGGGUAGCCGGCCUGAGAGGGCGACCGGCCACAUUGGGACUGAGAUACGGCCCAGACUCCUACGGGAGGCAGCAGUGGGGAAUAUUGCACAAGGGGCGGAAGCCUGAUGCAGCAACGCCGCGUGCGGGAGGACGGCCUUCGGGUUGGAAACCGCUUUCAGCAGGGGCGAAGCUUGUGGUGACGGUACCUGCAGAAGAAGCACCGGCUAACUACGUG